UGAUAUGAACUCCUUAAAGAACGUGAAGGAGUGUAAGAGAGAAAAGAUUCUGCUCCUCCAUUCAGUGGUAAAGACCAGCUACAAGAUAUGGAUGGUAGAAUUUAGGAAGCUUUAAGAAAACCUAUGCAAGAGCUAGUUCUUAGCCUUUCCUGGAACAUUGUCCCAGUUGUGACUUUACUGAAAACAUGGACUCUUAUUAGAACCACCUGGGGAGUUUGAAAAAUUAAGGCAGCCCUGGCUCCCGGCUGGAGAUUCUGGUUCAAUUGGCUUGGAUGAGGCCUGGCAGUGGGAUUUGUAAGACUUCCCAGGUGAUUCUAACAUGCAGCCAGGGCUGAGCACCUCUGAUGGAACAUCUCCGUCCUUUUAGAGAUGAGGAAAUUGAAGCUUAGAGAACUACCUGCGUCUCGACCAAGACAUUCUGUUUCUUACAAUUCUACUUUAAAUGAAUAUUUGAAUGCUCACAGAUUAUCCUUUUAAAUCUCAGCAUCUCCAUUCUUGAAUUCAUUGUGUCUCUCUCAGAUGGCUGGACGUCGUGGAAUGUCUUCUUUCAGGAAGGAGACGUGGGCUUCUACUUUCUAAGUCCCGGCAUAAAAAUGCUUUUCCCCUGCAUUCUCGCUUGGAUGGCCACUUUAUUAAAGCAGACUUUCUCGAUUCUACUGUGCAUGCGAAUCACCUGGGGAGCUUGUUAACUGAAGAGUCAGAUGGAGAAGUUUUGGAUGGAGGCUGCAGUGCUAUAUUCCCAUUUCUAACAUGCUCUCAGGUGAUGCUGCCCUGCUGGUGGCUCGUGAACGACACCUUGAGUAGCAAGAGUGAAGUGGAGUCUGCCCACAGACUUUUCCGCUCCCUUUGUCAAGGGCCUUCAGGGAAUUUUUCUUGUUAUCCCUUUAUGAGAACCCCACCCUUAGCCACAGGGAUUGCUCUGUGGUUAUUGGAGGAGUGAAGGUUUAUUUCCCCCGAGAUCGUUAUACUGAGAAGCUUGUUAGUCAGAGUAGCCAGGAGACAUCGUGACUGCUAUCGGGUGAGACUGUUUAUCAAAGCCAAGUAGAAUCAAGUUGAGAGACGGAUGGAGAGUUCUGAUGUCUGAUGUCAUCACUUGAGCCUCUGGAAUUAAUUGUAGCUAAAGAUUUAUCCACAGAAUUUCCCAGAUAUGCCAACCGAGGCCAAGAGAAGUGAAGUGCUUUGCCCAAGGUUGCACAGCUAUUAACGAUCUGCAGGGCAGACGGAUGGAAGGUAGAGAAGAGCAAGGUCAAGGUGGAAGCCAUGGACAUGAAUAGGAGCCUGCAAGGAUCAACCCAAACCCAUGUCAGUUCUCACUGCCUCCAACUUGAAUGAAGUGGGUGUCCUGCAAGAGAGGCCGGCACCCUUCGUCACACAAGUGAACACACACCUCGCCCUGGAGAUGGUGAAGCUGAAGGAGGAUCAGGGGAAGGUGGAGCCAGUCGCAGGUCCAAUGGCUGCCCUGGACCAAUGAGAGGAAUAAAAGAAGAGGAAGACCCCGGCAACCUAAGCUUUGGAGGUCUUCGCAAGCUGGUUUAAUUUGCUCUCGCCCUCUUCCUUUGAUGUGGGAUGUCAGAGUCUGCUCACCAAAAGCUGCUGAAGAUUUCUUGCAAGAGCCACUAGGACCUGGUUCCUUCCUUGGGGCCUCUCAUUGGCUCCUCUAAGCCUGGCUUCUGCCUCCCAUAAACCACAGGAAAUUCCAGCACAAGGUAAAGAGUUCUCCAAUGGACACAGGUCCUGGAUAUUUCUUAAUUUCGAGUUCUUCCACCUCUUAUGCAUUGUCAGCCCCGUCAGAGCUUUGCUUGGAUGACAAGCGCAGAUGUCACUUCUCGCUGCAUUUGUUGUUUCUGUGUCUGUGGUAGUGCUGAUUCCUGGCCACUCCGACCUCCUGCUCUUCAGGCCUUAAUCUGAGCUAUUGCGAAGCCUCAGCAAAAGCUGACUGUGAAGCUUGGUCCUGAUGCUGACAGGGGCAAUCUCAUGGCAGAAAGAGGGCAGAGUGAGCAGACCUGGGUUUGGAUCCCAGCUCCAACUCUCUCUACCUUCCUAGUGUAUUAAUCAUGUUUUUUGUAUUCUGUUUUUUAUGACGUUUUGACAUCUAAAAAAAUCUGUCUGGGAAGACAACUGCUCCUGCUUCUGCUUUCUGACCAAAACCCAGUGUUCCUCCUGUGGCCCUGCGUGAUGAGCCAGGCCUCUUGUUUCUAGCAGGAUUGUGUGUAACAUUAAACUUUUCUUUCAACAGCACUGACCUCUCAGUGUCAUCACUCAGUCACCUUUAUAAAUUAAGACCCAGACACAAAGCAUGUGGCUGUGGUUAGGUUUUGCCCACGUGCUAACAGCUUUCAUCUUCAUCUCAUGCCCGCCACUCCCAUUGCUGCAGCCCGAGCUUACAUUGUCUUUAGAACUCUUGAUCUCUGAAGAAAAGCAAUGUUCUUUUUAUCCUGGCAUUCAUGUAAAUCCCCCCAGAGGGCUCUGAUUGGUCUUACUUGGGUAUUGUGUCCAAAAUGAAGCCAAUUAAUGUGUCCAGCUGUUGUGGAAAUGAGGCCACUGAUGGCCCAUCUUGGUGACAUGCUCAACCCUAUGGUAGAAGAGGCAAAGCCGCUUGAUGGACAGUGCCACCAGAAUCACUUUGAGAGAUGGAGUCAGUUACCAAAAGGAACGGAUACAGAACACAUAAAAAGGAAUGCAUUUCUUAUAUGCUGACGUGUCAUGCAUUCGGAAAGUAGGCCAUUUGAAAACUUAGGAUUGGAUUAAUUCAACUCUAGAAGUGCCAAGACCUAAGAAACCCAGCAUGUGACCAAAAAAUUAGAGUGAGACCCUUUUGCCUGGUUAAAGCAUAAUGAGAAAUUGGGGAGGGGAGAAUUUCGCAUUCUAAUUUUGGGAGACUUUUA
ensembl:lncRNA